rnacentral:tRNA from 1 species
GAAGUUUAGCUCAGCUGGUUUAGAGCACCUGCCUUACAAGCAGGGGGUCACUGGUUCGAGUCCAGUAAUUUCC